rnacentral:rRNA from 1 species
UGGGGGAUAUUGCACAAUGGGCGAAAGCCUGAUGCAGCGACGCCGCGUGGGGGAUGAAGGCCUUCGGGUUGUAAACUUCUUUUGCUCUGAACAAGGCAUGCUAAUGGGUGUGUUGAGUGUAGGGGUUGAUUAGCGCCGGCUAACUACGUGCCAGCAGCCGCGGUAAUACGUAGGGCGCGAGCGUUGUCCGGAAUUAUUGGGCGUAAACGGCUUGUAGGUGGCUGGUUGCGUCUGUCGUGAAAGCUCAUGGCUUAACUGUGGGUUUGCGGUGGGUACGGGCUGGCUUGAGUGCAGUAGGGGAGGCUGGAAUUCCUGGUGUAGCGGUGGAAUGCGCAGAUAUCAGGAGGAAUACCGGUGGCGAAGGCGGGUCUCUGGGCUGUUACUGACACUGAGGAGCGAAAGCAUGGGGAGCGAACAGG